CGGCGCGCGGCGGCGGCGCUGAGGGGAGGCGGGCGGCAGGUAGAAAAGAGGCGCUUUAUUGGUGAGGUCAGUCUUGUCCCAGCGUCCCCCGGAAAGGACGAAGCGUUUCUGCCGGUUGCGCCCAUUCUGGCCAUCCGGCAGCACCGGGAGGUCUGGCACACCACAGCGGGGUGUGAUGUUUUCGAGACAUGUCCUGGAAGAGAAAAACAAAGCUGUCACUUCUGUGUCUUGGAUAUGAGACGUCUUGAUGGAGGAAUGGACAUCUACCAACAGCAGACCUGCAGAGGUGAGUUCCACCUCUCCCUGGUUUCUUCCCUGGCUGCUAAGGCACAUCCUGCUGCCCACAGACAUCCUCAGUUCCCUGGGUUCCUGCUCUGAGGCCAGGCCAUACCUGUGAACAAAGUCUAAUUCCAUAGCAUCCCCUACAUCUACUUUUGGUCCACAUUUCCUUGACAGCUGGACAGCAUGAAAUGCUUUUGCAAACUGUGGAUAAGAACUAGACCCUCCAAACAUGAAACAAAUCACUAGGGAGGGAGUAAAAUUUCCCACUUUUCACCACCUCCUUGCCCUGAUAGCGGUGAUGUGGGUGAUGUGAGAAGGAGAAAGCCUUUAGUCUCCAGCACGUGGUUGUGCUUCCCGUUCUCCCUCCUGUGGCGUUGUAGUGCGAUAAGCAGACCCCUGGCAUGGCUCAGGGGCUGCACAAGCUGGAAAGCAGGAUACACGGAUCUGGAGGGUGACAGAGCCCAGGGCAGAGCAGCAGUGACUGUUCCUGCAGUCCCUGUCACUGUGUGAGAGAGAGAAGGACAGGACCAUUCCCCCUUGCCUCACUAUGCCUGUAGAUCUGCUUGCAGAAAGGUCACUCCACUCUCUCACACUUAAUUAGAAAAGCAUGGUUCCUCUUGGGAGUAUUAAUUAGUGCUAAUUAACUGAUUUCCACUGGUUUCCCAACUAACAGCAAGAUUAUGGGGCACAGGACCACCAUGAUACGUGAGUCAAGCUUAAUCCCCAAUCUGCUGUGAGGUACAUAAGAUAAGAAGAUGCUUGAUUCCCGAGCAACUGUGCUGUGUGAGCUCUGGGUCCAAAUGCAGCCCUUUUUGCCUCAUUCUGUGCAGCCAGAUUUAAAUGUGCUUGAGCACCAGGAGGGCCUGAGAUGCAGCAGUGAUGCAUCUGCUCAAGCAGGCAGGCUCCAUCCCACAGGACUUGAGUCGUGUGUAGGGCUCUCUUCCUUCCCUUGCACAGAGCUGCCUUCUUUCAGGCCAGCUCUCCCGCCUGCCUAAGGACUGAGGGUCGGGCUGGCGCGAUGCCAGCGCUGCCGCAAUGCCGUGUAAUCCGCGUGCUGCCGUCCCUCUGUUCCCCUACAAUGAGCCCAUUCAUGCGGGCAGGAAUGAAGUGUGAAGCCCUUGGCAUUAAUUCCGCUACUGGGCUUUGACUCUGAGACUGCCCCGUGCCUCGGAGUGAUGCAUAGGUGGGCACAGGAGCCAGAGAGAUUGCACAAGGUGCAGUUCAGGUGUCCACUUCUACAUAUGUCUGUCACUACUUCACGGUACUGGUUUGUCCCCCCUGCCAGUCAGCCAGCCUGGGGCUUGGCAUCUGCCAGCCCUUGCCUUAGAAACCAGCCUCUGCAUCAACCCCAUCCUGGCAUCCCGCUGCACUUUCACACACCGCUAAGAAGGGCAAAGAAAGCCAUUUUAUGUCUUGCACAACAAAGCCCACUCAACCCACCAGCCAUUGCAUGGGGAAUCCGUCCAAUCCUUUAGUGAAAGGAGGGUGCAUGAGCUGGCCAGUCCAAGAGGAGGCUGCACCAGCCUGCUUCCAUUGAAUGCCGGAGCCCUGCCAAGUGCAAGAUACCUGUCUUUCUAAGCUGAACUCUCUAAGAGUGGCUUGGCAUCCUGCCUUCCCAGGCAGCUAAUGUUUGAGAAGGACAGCUGGCAGGAGGAGCUCAUAAGGAUUGUGUCCUGGCCAAUAUUUUAUUCUCAGCCCCCAUGAGACCCUCUGCCAAGCAUAUAACAGCAGCUGCGUCUGCCGAUGCUUUUCACCAAAGCCCAGUCUGAAAGGCUCUUGGCUUCCCACACUGCAUGCACUGCUCAGGAGAACUCUGCUACCAUGGGGUGAUGAAUGUGUCUGCAUCUCCAGGGCCAGGAGGCAUCAGGCAGCCACUUCAAGGCACACAGGGAACAGGAGUGGAGAUGGACUCCAGGGAAAGCCCUCACUGUGGAAGUGGGACGGGAGUUACCCAGGCAGGCAAGUGAGCUGAAACUGAAGAUGGGCUUUUUGUCUUGGCUAUGAUAGCAAGAUCUACCCUAACUGCUGGAGGUCUGACAAUUGGAGGAAAAGUCAAUUGUUGGCUUUUUGGCUAGGAACACUGGCAUAAACUGGAGAUUAUCAAUGUCUGAGCAGAGGCAGAGAGGAGAAAUUACCUUUUUCCUUCUUGCCCUGGGGGAACCUAUGUGCAGGGGCUAAGGACAGCCAGGUUUUGUCUCUACUGUUUGGUUAACUUGAGCUUGUUGGCACAAACUCCAAACAUCCAGACCCAACUUCACCUUUAAGCAGGACCCUCCCUGCUCCACCUGCCUUCCCGCUGCCAUGACUGAGCCUGACUGGGCUUGGGAGGGGACACCAGCAGGUCCCUUGGGUGGAAGCAGGACGUUAGACCUGCCCUGCUGCCCCUGCACUUGCUGCACCCCUGCACAAACAGUGGUAGGGCAUAGAGUCUCUCUCUGCCGUCACCACACUGACAUUAGCAUGAUGGCAGGAAAGGGCUGGAAAAUGCCACUGCAGGCACAGCCAGCAAGGGGAAAUGUGACGGGCAGAAACCACUUUCCAAACAAUGCUCAGGAGACGUAUCAGGCUGGAGAUUUCAGCCUCCUUGACUGGACACACCUCACUGCAGUCACUUCCCAAGGCUUAGAUAAGGCACAUCCUGUCACUUAAGGUUGAAUCCCUUCCACCCUGUGCUGAAACCACCCAUCUAUGGGAUAUGUAUGGGAAUUUCAGGGAGCUCCUGCUUUGUUUUAUUGAGCUCUUCAUAUGUGGUAUGCCCUAACUGUAUGCUUAGGGGUUUGCUUAGAGCUGUGCUGCUGCUGAAGCAAGGACAAACCUGUGGAGA